AGAGUUUGAUCCUGGCUCAGGAUGAACGCUAGCUACAGGCUUAACACAUGCAAGUCGAGGGGAAACGAUAUUGGAAGCUUGCUUCCGAUAGGCGUCGACCGGCGCACGGGUGAGUAACGCGUAUCCAACCUGCCCAUCACUUGGGAAUAACCUUGCGAAAGUAAGACUAAUGCCCAAUGACAUUUAUAGAAGGCAUCUGAAAUGAAUUAAAGAUUUAUCGGUGAUGGAUGGGGAUGCGUCUGAUUAGCUUGUUGGCGGGGCAACGGCCCACCAAGACUACGAUGGAUAGGGGUUCUGAGAGGAAGGUCCCCCACAUUGGAACUGAGACACGGUCCAAACUCCUACGGGAGGCAGCAGUGAGGAAUAUUGGUCAAUGGACGCGAGUCUGAACCAGCCAAGUAGCGUGAAGGAUGACUGCCCUAUGGGUUGUAAACUUCUUUUAUAUGGGAAUAAAGUUGUCCACGUGUGGAUUUUUGUAUGUACCAUAUGAAUAAGGAUCGGCUAACUCCGUGCCAGCAGCCGCGGUAAUACGGAGGAUCCGAGCGUUAUCCGGAUUUAUUGGGUUUAAAGGGAGCGUAGGCGGAUUGUUAAGUCAGUUGUGAAAGUUUGCGGCUCAACCGUAAAAUUGCAGUUGAUACUGGCAGUCUUGAGUGCAGUAGAGGUGGGCGGAAUUCGUGGUGUAGCGGUGAAAUGCUUAGAUAUCACGAAGAACUCCGAUUGCGAAGGCAGCUCACUGGAGUGUAACUGACGCUGAUGCUCGAAAGUGUGGGUAUCAAACAGGAUUAGAUACCCUGGUAGUCCACACAGUAAACGAUGAAUACUCGCUGUUUGCGAUAUACAGUAAGCGGCCAAGCGAAAGCAUUAAGUAUUCCACCUGGGGAGUACGCCGGCAACGGUGAAACUCAAAGGAAUUGACGGGGGCCCGCACAAGCGGAGGAACAUGUGGUUUAAUUCGAUAAUACGCGAGGAACCUUACCCGGGCUUAAAUUGCAAAUGAAUUAUGGGGAAACCCAUAGGCCGUAAGGCAUUUGUGAAGGUGCUGCAUGGUUGUCGUCAGCUCGUGCCGUGAGGUGUCGGCUUAAGUGCCAUAACGAGCGCAACCCUUAUCUUCAGUUACUAACAGGUCAUGCUGAGGACUCUGGAGAGACUGCCGUCGUAAGAUGUGAGGAAGGUGGGGAUGACGUCAAAUCAGCACGGCCCUUACGUCCGGGGCUACACACGUGUUACAAUGGGGGGUACAGAAGGCCGCUACCUGGUGACAGGAUGCCAAUCCCAAAAACCUCUCUCAGUUCGGAUCGAAGUCUGCAACCCGACUUCGUGAAGCUGGAUUCGCUAGUAAUCGCGCAUCAGCCAUGGCGCGGUGAAUACGUUCCCGGGCCUUGUACACACCGCCCGUCAAGCCAUGAAAGCCGGGGGUACCUGAAGUACGUAACCGCAAGGAGCGUCCUAGGGUAAAACUGGUAAUUGGGGCUAAGUCGUAACAAGGUA
rnacentral:rRNA from 1 species